AUGAACCGCCGGUUCGUGAAUCUGCUGGUGGAUAAGUUUAGCGCGCCCCGACCCGCCAUCAAGCUGCACCGCAUCGACCCCGCGACCUUGUUCUACCCCACGGGAUCACCAAAACCAGCAGAUCCUGUAGCAGGUCCGGCUCCGGGGAGGCUGCCUCCAGCCGCCAUGUCCUUCGACCGGCCAUGUGAGCGGCACCACACAGGGUGGAUCGAUUUCAUGGCCUUCAAGAAGAGCAUCGUCGUCGCCGUGGACAACAAGGGCCGCACCCUCCUCUACGACAGCGCCGCUCGGGCCGUCCGCGCCGUGAACCUGAUGCAGCCCCCUCUUGACUCGCCCCGCGUGUUCGUGGGCAUGGGCGACCGCCUGUACGUCAUGGAGAUCGAGGAUGGCCUGCCGUCCCGGCUUCGGUGGUUCCAUGCCCUCAUCUACGCCCCCCCGCCCGAUUUCCUCGGCCAGCACGAUUGGUAUUGGCGCCCUUUCGACCUGCCCACCUUUGAUCACCCCGACGCUGAUCGCGACUCGGAUAAGUACAAGGAGACGCCGUCGCCACACCCCUGUGCUAUCUGUGCCUUCACGGUGGUAGGCGACUCGCAGAUCUGGGCGUCCACGGUGGCCGCUGGCACGUACUCAUUUGACACUGUGAGCAGCGAGUGGAGCAAGGUCGGCGCGUGGGUGUUGCCAUUCAGAGGCCGCGCCGUGUAUGUUCCUGAGUACAAGCUCUGGUUUGGCUUCUCGGACGAGGACGACAGGCUCUGCGCGGCCGACCUCACUUUGACACAGCCGGUGCUGGAGAAGGUGUGGGAAGAAGACCCACCUCCGCUCGAGGCGUGUUCCGUGACAGCGUCCCACCUCCUGCCUUUGGGCUCCGGCAGGUUAUGUGUGGUCAGGAUGUUCGUGAAGACUGAAGAGAUGGGGAGCUUUGCAGUGAUGUCCGGCGUCGAGGUUUUGAGGGAUGGCGGCUCCGGGAGCCUCCGAAUGAUCAAGCACAAGUGCAGACGUUACAACUUCGGA
rnacentral:rRNA from 1 species